ACACGUUUUAUUUACUAAAACAAACCAAAUUUUUUCUGUGAACCGAAACUAAACCUUUUUUUUAACCCAAUAAACAAUAACCCAUGAACAGCACACUGUCGGUCUUCGGACUGGUCAGAUAGUUGUACUAAUCACAACCAAAACUUGAGAUCUACCUCGGCUUUACUGCUGUGGCUGGCCUCCUGUUUAUAUCUAAAACUACAGAA
rnacentral:misc_RNA from 1 species